rnacentral:rRNA from 1 species
UUUUUUAACACCCAUGAGACGCAAGUAACCUGACUGGUGGGAUGGCUUAUGCCUGCACCAUCGACCGACCAUGAUCUUCUGUGAAAGGUUUGAGUACGAGCAUACCUGUUGGGACCCGAAAGAUGGUGAACUAUGCCUGAGCAGGGCGAAGCCAGAGGAAACUCUGGUGGAGGCUCGUAGAUGUGCUGACGUGCAAAUCGCUUUUCGGACUUGGGUAUAGGGGCGAAAGACUAAUCGAACCAUCUAGUAGCUGGUUCCCUCCGAAGUUUCCCCCAGGAUAGCUGGAGCUUGAUCAGUUUUAUCGGGUAAAGCGAAUGAUUAGAGGUACCGGGGAUGAAACAUCCUCGACCUAUUCUCAAACUUUAAAUAGGUAAGACGUCUGGGUUGCUUAAUUGAACCCAGGCAUUCAAUGAGAGCUCCAAGUGGGCCAUUUUUGGUAAGCAGAACUGGCGAUGCGGGAUGAACCGAAAGCUGAGAUAAGGCA